GGGAGCUUUCAUGUGGCCGACCAACUCUACUCCUUGACUCCUCCCUUCUCUCAUUGAAAAAAAAUGUUUAAGGGGACAUUUCUCUCUCCUAAACUUUUUAUGUUCCAUUGAAGACCUGGAAAACAUGUUAAAUAAAAAUGCUUUGCCACAGCUGACCUAUGUCUUCUGGCUUGUACCCCACAACAUCUUAUCUAAUGGGACAGAAUAACGGGCUCCCAGAUUCACAAGCCCCACCAAGAGGAUCACCCCAGGAACGCUUGGAGGCUGAGGAGUUCACUGAGGCUACUGCAUCUUGAGACUCAGGAUGAAGACCCAGCUUGGGGCUGUCAAAGGUUUUUUGCAUGUCUGACACCCAUGACUCCACCUGGACCUUAUGGCUCCACCCAGAAGCAAUUCAGCCCAACAGGAGGACAGCUUCAACCCAUUACGAUUUCAUCUCUGCCCCAACCACUCAGCAGCAAGCACCUGUUACCUGUCCACCCCCACCCCUUCCCCCAAACUGCCUUUGAAAAAUCCCUAACCUAUGAGCUUUGAAUAAGAUGAGUACGAACUUCAUCGCCCACGUGGCGUGGCCGGCCUCGUGUCUAUUAAAUUCUUUUUCUACUACAA
rnacentral:lncRNA from 1 species